CGGGCCGUGGCUGGCGGGCGCGGGGAAAAUGGCGGCGGCGGCGGCGGCGGCUGCGGCGGCGGCGGCGGCGGCGGC
rnacentral:miRNA from 14 species